rnacentral:rRNA from 1 species
GACGAACGCUGGCGGCGUGCCUAAUACAUGCAAGUAGGACGCAGUUGCGAACGGGUGAGUAACGCGUAGGUAACUGCCUAUUAGAGGGGGAUAACUAUUGGAAACGAUAGCUAAUACCGCCUACUAGUAGAUUGACCUGCGUUGUAUUAGCUAGUAGGUAGGGUAAUGGCCUACCUAGGCGACGGUACAUAGCCGACCUGGGAGGGUGGUCGGCCAAACUGGGACUGGGACACGGGCCAGACUCCCACGGGAGGCAGCCGGAGGGAAUCUUCGGCAAUGGGGGGAAACCUGACCAAGCAAAGCCGCCGGAGUGAAGAAGGUUUUCGGAGCGUAAAGCUCUGUUGUUAAGGAAGCGGUACUUAACCAGAAAGGGACGGCUAACUACGUGCCAGCAGCCGCGGUAAUAC